CGGAACCGGAACUGCAGGGGUAGGCGGGGCAAGCAAACAGCCUAAUUGUUGAGUUUCGGUUUCCACCGAAGAGGAUUGUCACUUGUGUACGUUUUGUGACUCGCCGGCUUCCGUUGAGGGCACGCGUAGAAACACCUACUUUGAGAGUAACGAGUAUUUCUGGUUUGUGAGAACGCAAGAUGCCGGGCAAGGUGGAGCACGCCUUUAAUCCCAUCACUUUGGAGGAAGAAGUAGGAGGAUCUCGUGUGUGUUCGAGGCCAGUCCACAUAGCGAGCUCUAAAGAAGCCAAAGCUGCCCAGGAGACACUGUCUCAAAAAAACCGCCAUCACCAUCAUAAUUAAAAGCAGGAAAAAUAGCAAAAUGGAAUGCACAGGGCAUACAUGACUUCGUGAGUUUUCCUAGUUUUGAGUUCCUGGCUACAGCAAAAUAAUUGGGAUGACAUAUUUUCUUACAGAGGCACCCAGCCCUAGAGUAAUCCAAAACGAAUUGUUUUUAGAAACCUUUCCCAUGUUUGGUAAAGACAAACGGUAGAUACUGUCCUCUACUUUACUGCACACCUACCCAAGGUAUCAGAUAACUUAUUUUCUGGAAAUCGGGUCACCUGCCUUCAAAACUAUCCAUAAAUUCAUAUAAAAGAAUUUAGAAGUUUAAGCUCCUGUACCAUAAUCCCCUUUUUAAAAACAGCUUACCUACCUCUUGCUAAGAAGCCAGCUGUUUCCAAACAAAAACAAAAAAACAAACAAAAAAAGCCAGCUGUUACUGUCUACUGAUUUAAAGUGAAAAUCAAGUUAUGUCAGGUAUGUGUAAAAAGUGUGAAGAAGUGAACUCUUUCCCCAUCCUCCUUCCAGAGAACUGGCAACAUUGAGUUGGCACUUCCAAAGUAGCCUUAAGGUAUAGAGGGAAAAUUUUUUACAACUACACAACUCUGCCAAACUCCAAGGUUACCAUGUGAGGACCUAGAAUCAAUUCUAACACUGGGAAAAUAAGUAAAUCUGUAAUCCAAGAAUUUCAAGCAGUUAUUAAAAUCUUUAACACUUUUAUUACAACUGUUUGUAACUUCAGCUCCAGGGAUCUGACACCCUCUUUUGACCUCUGUGAGCACCUGCAUACACGUAAGUAAAUAUAAUAGAAAUAGACCAAUUUAAAAAAACCUCAUACAUUGUAACAUGAUUGAAUUAAUUAGUAUUUAAUUUCUAAUUCUGCAUAAGGCUUGUGGAAGUCGGAGAACUUGGUAGUCAGUCCUCUCCAUCCACUUUUACCCAGGUCACCACAUUUGUACCCUGAACCAUCUUUCAGACCAUAUUUAUUUUUAAAGCUUUUUAAACUCAUGUUUAUCGCAUGUUCACGUGCAAUGUGGGAGGAGGAAACUCAUGUGGGAUCAGAGGGACAACUUGAAGGAGCUGGUUCUCUCUUUGUGAGUCCUAAGGAUUGGUCUCAGGUUGUCAGACAUGGCUUUAUGCUUUUUUUUUUUUUUAACCUCUCGAGGUGCAUUUCCUCGAUGUAGCCCAGGCCGUCAUGGAACUCACUAUGUAACCCAGGCUGACUUUGUGCUCUAGGCAACCUGAUGCACUAGUGCUAAGAGGUUAAAAAGCAGGAUUACAAUUCAAGGUCAGGUUUCACAAGAGAUGCUUUUUCAAAGGACCUGAAACGGUAAAAGUGAGGGGCCACUACUUGCGGUUAACUCCCCAAAAAUCAUUGCAACAAAUAAAGCACAUUUUCUUUUUGCAAUUGUUUUAAAGAUUUUAGUAUUUUAUGUCUAUUUUGCCUGCAUGUGUAUGUGUAUAUAUUCACUACCUGCAGUUCUAAAAUGUUUGGGAAGGGGAAUUUUUUAAAACAUAAAUUAUUCUUGCGAGAAACUUAAAAGUAACCCCUUAGUAUCGGAUUUAGGCAUAUUUUUUUCUUUUGGGGGAAGGGGAUGUUAAGACAUGUAGCCUGGAACUAUGUGGACCAGAUUAGCCUAAAACUCAGGGAUUCUCCUGUCUCUGCCUCACAGCUGCCACCACAUCUGGCUUCUUAAAACCUUUAACAGGAAAGUCCCCUAAUGUAAAUUAGUAUCUUAUAUCUCUGUAUCCAACAUUGUGUCAUAUGUUCCAGUCCAGAGUGGUCUGGAACCAAUUUCUUUUCUUUUUUGUUUUUUUGAGACAAAGUUUCUCUGUAUAGCUUUGGAGCCUGUCCUGGACCUCACUCUGUAGACCAACCAGGCUGGUUUCCAACUCACAGAGAUCUGCCUGCCUCUGUCUCCCUAGUGCUGGGAUCAAAGGCGUGUGCCACCACCACCCAGCUUCUUUUUUCUCAUCACAGGGUGGCUUUUAUUUGUAAAAAGUGUGAAUUCAUUUAAGAUAGAAGUAUAACGUGAGGCUCUGACAACACAGUAUUAAAACUUUAUAUGAGACUUGGUCCCACUGUAAAGGAAUUCUGUCUGGGCCAGCAAAGUGCUGCUCUCUAUGUACUUACCCCAACUUACGUUUUUGCAUUCAGGAUGUAUAAUAAAAGAAGUUAUAAAUUAAGAUGCUUUCAUCUGAAGGCAGCCGAGCCCAGUGCUGCAACUGUUAAGCAGUCAUCAGUGAAAUGUGUACUUCCCAAUCAAUCCAGGAGCACCCAAGCCAAAGUACAGAAAGUAUUAACAUUAACAGUCUAAGACACCUGGACAGAUGAAUUUACAAAAAGUAAAAAUAAAGUGAUUAUCUUAAUCAUUUCAAAAUCAUCCUCUUAAAUUUUGUUACUCAGAAGACUCUGAAACACUGUAAAUGUUCUGUAUAUUAGAUCUGUGGGAAUGAGUGUUCUUAAGAAUUAUCAGUGAAAGACUGAGUCAGAGGUCCUGAAAGGACUGUGAUUCUGAGAACCCCAGUGAACAAUAACAGUGCACAAAAUCAUUUUUAUCAAGUACAUGUUUAGGUAACUUGAGAAAAAAUAUUUUUGUGAGCAGAUGAGACAGGGUUAUUUAAUAUACUACUUUUGUUGUUUUCUCAGAGAACAAAUGUAUUAUUUACUAAUAAAAACUAUUUUAUAAUAAUAGGCCACAGGAGGGAUUUUCUCAGAGAAAUGCUAAAAUCAGUUCUCAAUGCUAUUAAAAUAUGCUGAAAAAUAAGAAUGAGGACUUUGUCAGAAACAGUUAACAAGAUCUUUUUUUCGGGGGGUGGGGGUGAAGGUCUGUAUAGUCCGGGGAGUCCUAGAACUAUGUAGACCAGGCUGGCCUCCAACUCACUGAUCUCCACCUGCCUCUGGAUCCCCAGUACUGGGAUUAAAGGCAUGAGCAUGAGCCGCUAUGCCUUUAACAAGGUCAUUUCUAAAGUGAAAUAGCUGGAAUACACAUCACACAAUAAUUGGGGUAUCAGCUAUUUGGAAAUGGAAAAAUGAUAGCUCUGAAAAGGUAACUCACUUCUGAAAGAGAAGCACACUAUGUAGUCUGCAGAGAUAAUCACAUACUUCAAAAGGAAAAAAAAAGACCUGCAUGGUCUCAAAAAUUGUUUUUUUAUUGUUUAAAUAAAAAUGUUCUUUAUUACAUCUGAAGUAUAAAAAUGUUUUUGGAAAAUGUUCCUAGUACAAACUUCUAGUACCAUGGCACUGUCCUUCACAAGCCUGAUCUCUAAGUGUAGAGAUGGAGAGCUCCAAUCUAAUCUCAUGUUCCACCUUUUAAAUUCAAGAAAAUAGCCAGUUUUUCACCCUUCUUCCUUACUGAACAGCACCACGCACAUGCACAAUACAUGCUGAGUAAUGUCUGUUCUCCACUGGGACUAUUUCAGGUAGAAAAUAACCCUCGUUAUCACAUAAAACAACGGUGGGGUAGAGAAGACAGACCCAUGCAAAAUUCAAUACAAAAGGUUAACUAACAUCACACAGGUGUUUUUGUUUUAGUAAAGUGCUGUUUUUUAAUCUCAUGGCUAUAUUUGCAGGCUGUUCUCCUAAUUUGGGUGUAUUUAUCAUAGGUGGAAAACCAAAUGUCUAUGCUUAACAUCUCCUAACUGAAGUCACAAGUGCACCAUUUACAAACUGCUGGGUAGGUGUGAGAAACCAACCUUACACUCUCUACUAAGGUCACUAGAGGCAAGAGAUCCUCUUGUGUACUUUGACAACCAAGGAAUGUUGUUGUCAACUUUAGUUGGUAUAUCUGAGCUUUAGUUCGUGUUUUACAGUGUGAAAUUUGUAUCUAAUUAAAAAUCAAACUGAUAUAUACAGUAUUUCUCAUGAAUGCAUUGUUUUAUAUUUCAACCACAUAAGUCAUUUUUCCAUAGGAGACAGGGUAGGACACAUAUUCUUCUUGUAUACAUUAUUGUUUAUUGUUUCAAGUGGAUGGAAUAUAUAAUUCCCACUGAGUAGUUUAGUGUGGCCCUGAAUCACAUAUAAACAGGUUAAAUGUAGUCUUUAUAAUCCUUGUAUUCGUGUAUAGACCAUAAAAAUUGUCUUAAUAACAAACCCAAAUACUCAUUUUUCGACUUGGCCCAAGUUAGCUGUUCAUCCUUUUCAUUGCUACCAGCAAGUGCAGAGAGCAAGGAGCCUUUCAACCUAAGACAUAAGAUGCUUGAAAAAGGAAAAUUUUAUGUUGACUCUUUAUGACUAGGAAACCAUGUUAAGAAUCAAUAUUAUCCAAUAUAAAAUAUGCCAAAUUGUUUAAAAAUAAAACAGUAUAUGCUGACUGAGAACUGUGGUGGCUUUUAAUUUCUCCAAAGUCUCAAGUUUUCUGGUUAGAAGAAACCACUGAGUCACUGAAGAUCUCCACCUCUGUGUAGCAGCUGCUAUGGUAAAAAGCUUUACAGGGUGUUUUUCACUAUUGAGCAAGAGAAUCUUACUAGUAACAGUGGCAAAGACAGAGUCCAAACUGAAGAGAGAUGUGUGUAUUCGUCUGAAAGUGUGACAAAUGUAAUAGACAUGGAAAAACCAGAAGUUCCUUCUAAAGCCUUGCUACAAACAAACCCAAAAGGGAGCAAGAUGGAUGUUUUAAGAGCUAACAUAGGGAAACAUCCACCGACAAUCCCAUCAUUUUACUUUAAUGCUUAAAUUACACAAGUAGAAAAGUUAUGCUUAUUAAUAGUUUAAUGUAUGAAGGAAACAUCCAGAUUUCUGAAUAUGAAGGUACAUAUCUCACAUUCAUUGAAGUCUACAUAAAGUAGAGCGUCUAUCCUGACAUACUGAAAUGUACUUUCUGCUUAGCCUUUGCUGUUAUGUAAACAAUUGUACAUUUAUUUGCCAUUCUAAAACUUCAGGAUCAAGUUUACAUAAUUUUGCUAAAUUUCCGUGUUUGCUCAGAAGCAGUUUACAGUACUAAAACCAACCAGCCAAAGAACAGCUUCAACAGAAAGUUAUGUCCAAAGGAGAAGAGGGGAGAAAGAAGAAAAUGAUAAGAAAAAUGCUAAC